UCCGUGUUUCCACGGCAGUCCCGAUAGAGUGCCGCCUUACGGCUGGCAACUAUCAGCAAGGGUUGCGCUCGUUCAAGGACUUAACCCGACGUCUCUCGACACGAGCUGACGACAGCCAUGCAGCACCUGUGUAACCGUCCGUAUUGCUACGGAACCCAAUGUUUCCACCAGUAGCGAUUACAUGUCAAACCCAGGUAAGGUUCCUCGCGUAGUGUCGAAUUAAACCACAUGUUCCACCGCUUGUGCGGACCCCCGUCAAUUCCUUUGAGUUUUAAUCUUGCGACCGUACUUCCCAGGUGGAUCACUUAACGCGUUAGCUACGACACGGACCCUGCUAUGCAAGACCCACAUCUAGUGAUCAUCGUUUACGGCGUGGACUAC
rnacentral:misc_RNA from 1 species